rnacentral:lncRNA from 1 species
AUUGAAUUCUAGCUCUAGACUAUUUCCUGUAAUUAUGAUUUAGCAGUGCCAGAAACAAAUAUAGCUAUCAAGUUCAACCACUUGCACAGAGAACAAAUUAGUUCAUAAAAUGUAGUGGAUUUUAUCUCCAAAUUGAAAUUUUGGCCUAAGUCAAUGGCAGACAUUGUCUACCUAUCUUUCAUGGUGCAGCUCAUUGCAUUUUUAAAAGACGUUUUUUCCGGGAG